GAUGAACGCUAGCGCCAGGCCUAAUACAUGCAAGUCGAACGGUAAGUUGAAUAGCAAUAUUUGACCUAGAGUGACGUACGGGUGCGUAACACGUAUGCAACCUACCUUGUACAGGAGGAUAGCUCGGGGAAACUCGAAUUAACCCUCCAUAAGAUCGUGAAGUGGCAUCACUUAGCGAUAAAAACUCCGGUGGUACAAGAUGGGCAUGCGUCUGAUUAGUUAGUUGGCGGGGUAACGGCCCACCAAGACGAUGAUCAGUAGGGGAACUGAGAGGUUGAUCCCCCACACUGGCACUGGGAUACGGGCCAGACUCCUACGGGAGGCAGCAGUAGGGAAUAUUGGUCAAUGCAUGCAAGUCUGAACCAGCCAUGCCGCGUGCAGGAAGAAGGCCUUCUGGGUUGUAAACUGCUUUUGCCAGGGGAUAAAAAGACCUUGCGAGGUUAAUUGAAGGUACCUGGUGAAUAAGCCACGGCUAACUACGUGCCAGCCGCCGCAGUAACAC
rnacentral:rRNA from 1 species